rnacentral:rRNA from 1 species
UACAGAGGUCUCAAGCGUUGUUCGGAAUCACUGGGCGUAAAGCGCGCGUAGGCGGCUUUGCAAGUCAGGGGUGAAAUCCCACGGCUCAACCGUGGAACUGCCUUUGAAACUGCAAGGCUAGAGUGUCGGAGGGGAUAGCGGAAUUGCUAAUGUAGAGGUGAAAUUCGUAGAUAUUAGCAGGAACACCGGUGGCGAAGGCGGCUAUCUGGACGACAACUGACGCUGAGGCGCGAAAGCGUGGGGAUCAAACAGGAU